rnacentral:lncRNA from 1 species
UUCUGGUCGAGAUUUCCACAGGAGAAAAAGGGGUUCUCUACAUUGAACCCUAGCAUACAUAAAAUCAAUCAAAUUGAAGGCCAAAUCGGGCUCGAAUCAAAGGCAUGAAUACAUACAAAUGAUCACCAAGUCGAGGGGAUCAAGAGUUUGACUCUUGACAAGCUAGAUGGAGGCUUGGGGAAAGAAGCGGGUCAAACGGAUCGUAUACGCGGAAAAGAGCAUAAUCCGGAUACAAGGAAUAAAUAUCGAUUGAAUGUUGACAUCGCUAUUACUUAGCGGCUACUAAGGCAAGGUGAAGAUGGACCUAAUCCGGAU